rnacentral:rRNA from 1 species
GACGAACGCUGGCGGCGUGCUUAACACAUGCAAGUCGAACGGAAAGGCCCUGCUUUUGUGGGGUGCUCGAGUGGCGAACGGGUGAGUAACACGUGAGUAACCUGCCCUUGACUUUGGGAUAACUUCAGGAAACUGGGGCUAAUACCGGAUAGGAGCUCCUGCUGCAUGGUGGGGGUUGGAAAGUUUCGGCGGUUGGGGAUGGACUCGCGGCUUAUCAGCUUGUUGGUGGGGUAGUGGCUUACCAAGGCUUUGACGGGUAGCCGGCCUGAGAGGGUGACCGGCCACAUUGGGACUGAGAUACGGCCCAGACUCCUACGGGAGGCAGCAGUGGGGAAUAUUGCACAAUGGGCGGAAGCCUGAUGCAGCAACGCCGCGUGCGGGAUGACGGCCUUCGGGUUGUAAGCCGCUUUCGCCUGUGACGAAGCGUGAGUGACGGUAACGGGUAAAGAAGCACCGGCUAACUACGUG